rnacentral:tRNA from 1 species
GCAAGUAUAGUUUAAUAAAAACAUUAGUCUGUGAUCCUAAAAACAGAAGUUAAAUCCUUCUUACCUGCCAAGGGGAGGU